rnacentral:rRNA from 1 species
AUUGAACGCUGGCGGCAGGCCUAACACAUGCAAGUCGAACGGUAGCACAGAGGAGCUUGCUCCUUGGGUGACGAGUGGCGGACGGGUGAGUAAUGUCUGGGAAACUGCCCGAUGGAGGGGGAUAACUACUGGAAACGGUAGCUAAUACCGCAUAACGUCGCAAGACCAAAGAGGGGGACCUUCGGGCCUCUUGCCAUCGGAUGUGCCCAGAUGGGAUUAGCUAGUAGGUGGGUAACGGCUCACCUAGGCGACGAUCCCUAGCUGGUCUGAGAGGAUGACCAGCCACACUGGAACUGAGACACGGUCCAGACUCCUACGGGAGCAGCAGUGGGGAAUAUUGCACAAUGGGCGCAAGCCUGAUGCAGCCAUGCCGCGUGUAUGAAGAAGGCCUUCGGGUUGUAAAGUAC